rnacentral:lncRNA from 9 species
ACAGUUACUCGUACAUACAACCUGAGGAAAGUUUUCUUCUUUUGCCAAAAAGAAAAAAAAAAAAAAGGAAGAAAGAAAAAGAAAAAAAGAAAAUCAGUAAUUAUUUCUGUAAUUUCUGGCUUUGAGAAAGAAAAGGAGGAAGAAUAUUGUGACCAUUAUUCACACCAAGGAUUAACGGCGCCCUUAAGAAAAGUUCCUCCUACUUAGGAACGUGAGCACAGGGGUUUCAAGACAAAUUUUUCUAUUAAACCAUUGUGACUAUUUCUAGACAUGCAUGUCAAAGGGGGCAAUCGGUUUUUCAGGAGGAGGAUACAACUUUUCCCCUAGAAGUUACGUACGGCCAGAAGUGUCCCAGUCCAGUCAUAAAAGGAGCAGAAUGUUUUGUAAAGCACACAUGGUAAUUUAUGUCUCAAGUAAAAAUCUCAGAACAUUUUGGAUGGGAUAGUGAUGGUGCACCAACGAUUCAUCCAUUUAAACAGAUUAGACUUACGACGUGCCUAUUUAUCCAAGAAGGAACUGGUGAGGAGGAUGCAUGAGAAAAAUGACCCUGUGUAAACGCGAAAGAAGGAAGACAAAACAAGGAGAGGCGGUAGACAAGGGGAUGGGCAAAGGCCCUGGAGUGCACACGGGUAGCUGCAGAGGGCCAAGGAACAGGAGGAAGGCUGCUCUCCCAGGCUUGCAAGGAGACACCUCCCCCAGUGUUCACUCCAGGGGAGGGGAUGGCCUUCCUCUUAGCCACUCAAGCAGGGGUCCAAGGAAGAACCCAAAGCAUUAAACAUCUGGGGACCAACCUGAGCCAGGAGCUGCAAGACCUCUGCGCCGAGAGCAAUAAAACAUGACUCAAGGAAAUUAAGGAGGAGUCAAAGAAGGGCAGACAUAGGCCACGCUCCUGGCUUGGAAAAAAUGAAUAUCCUAAAAAUGGCCGUUCUACGCAAAGCAAUCUACAGAUGCAAUGCCAUCCCUAUCCGUGAUCGUUUUCGCAGAACUAGAACAAAACCGUCCAAACAUUUACACGGAACCUAAACAGGCCCGGAAUGGCCAAGGCAAUCCUGAGGAGCAAAAACCAAGCAGGAGGCACACCUCUCCCAGACUUCGGUCAAUAUUACAAAGCUACGGUAAGCAAGACAGUGUGGCAAAGGUACCAAAACCGACACACAGACCACUGGAACAGAAGACAGAACCCAGAAAUAAACCCCAAACCGACGGUCAAUUAUUCUUCAACAAAGGGGGCAAGAAUGUCAAGGGGGGAAAAGACAGUCUGUUCAGCGCGUGGUGCUGGGAAGCUGGACAGCCACAUGAAAAUCCAGGAAACUGGAAAACAACACCCUCAAACCGUGCACAAAAAGAAACUCAAAACGGCUUAAAGACUUAAACCUAAGACAAGACACCAUCAACAGCAAACACAAACAACGACCCACUUGAAAAAUGGGCAAGAGAACUGAAUAGACAGUCACCCAAGGAAGAUAGACAGAUGGCCAACAGGCACACGAAAACAUGCUCAACACCAUGAAUGAUUAGAACAAGGCAAAUCCAAGCUGCUAAGAAGUACCACCUCGCACCUGUCAGAAGGGCCAUCAUUAGUAAGGCUAGAAAUUACAAAUGCUGGAGAGGGUGUGCAGAAGAGGGUACCCUCCCACCCUGUUGGUAGGAAUGUAACUUGGCACAGCCGCUAUGGAAAGCACCAUGCAGGGACCUCGGAAAACUAAAUAUAGAACUAGCAUGUGGCCCAGAAAUCCCACUCUUGGGCGUAUGUGGGGACAAGACUUGCCUUGAACAAGAUACAGGCACCCAUGGACGUUGACGACAGCGCCGAGUGUCCAGUGCGGCACUCCUCACGCUAGCCAAGACGUGGAAACCACCUAAACGUCCACCGACAGAUGAAUGGGUUAACAAGAGGUGGGAUAUAUACACAAUGCGGUACUCCUCAGCCGUGAAAGGAAGGAAUUAGUGCCAUUUGCAGCAGAGUGGAUGGAACUAGAGGCGCUCAUCCUAAGCAAAGUCCCUCAGAAAGAGAAACACCAACCCCACAUGAUGUCACUUAUAUCUGGACUCUAAAACACAGCACAAAUGAUCCUUUCCACGGAACAGAAACUCAAGGACUUGCAGAAGAGACUUGUGCUUGCCAGUGGGGUCAGGGAGGAAGUGGGAUGCACUGGGACUCUGGGCUUUAGGGAUGCAAACAAUUGCAUCUGGACUGGCUAUGCGAUGAGAGCCCACUGGAUCGCACAGGGAUACAAUAUCCAGCCACUCACGAAGGAACGUGAUAGAGGAUAGUGGGAGAAAAUGUAAGCAUGUAUAUGGGUGUGUCUGUGUGCGUGUGUGCACGCGUGUGCGACAGGAUCACUUUCCUGCACAGCAGAAAUUAACAGAAA